rnacentral:rRNA from 1 species
CUGCCAGUAGUCAUAUGCUUGUCUCAAAGAUUAAGCCAUGCAUGUCUCAGUACAAGCCAUAUUAAGGUGAAACCGCGAAAGGCUCAUUAAAUCAGUUAUGGUUCCUUAGAUCGUACCCACAUUUACUUGGAUAACUGUGGUAAUUCUAGAGCUAAUACAUGCAAACAGAGUUCCGACCGGAGACGGAAGGAAUGCUUUUAUUAGAUCAAAACCAAUCGGCGGCAAUUUAGUUUACUUUAUUGUUCGUCGCACUUUUUGGUGACUCUGAAUAACUUUUGGCUGAUCGCACGGUCUCGCACCGGCGACGCAUCUUUCAAAUGUCUGCCUUAUCAACUGUCGAUGGUAGGUUCUGCGCCUACCAUGGUUGUAACGGGUAACGGGGAAUUAGGGUUCGAUUCCGGAGAGGGAGCCUGAGAAACGGCUACCACAUCCAAGGAAGGCAGCAGGCGCGCAAAUUACCCACUCCCGGCACGGGGAGGUAGUGACGAAAAAUAACGAUACGGGACUCAUCCGAGGCCCCGUAAUCGGAAUGAGUACACUUUAAAUCCUUUAACAAGGACCAAUUGGAGGGUAAGUCUGGUGCCAGCAGCCGCGGUAAUUCCAGCUCCAAUAGCGUAUA